GACGAACGCUGGCGGCGUGCUUAACACAUGCAAGUCGAACGGAAAGGCCUGUCCUUCCUUGUGUUGGACGGGUACUCGAGUGGCGAACGGGUGAGUAACACGUGAGUGAUCUGCCCCCAACUUGGGUAUAAGCCUGGGACACUGGGUCUAAUUCCCGAUAGGACUGCAGGGUGGUGCCUGUGGUGGAAAACGAUUUUCUAGUGGUUGGGGAUGAGCUCGCGGCCUAUCAGCUUGUUGGUGGGGUAAUGGCCUACCAAGGCGGCGACGGGUAGCCGGCCUGAGAGGGUGGACGGCCACAGUGGGACUGAGAUACGGCCCAGACGCCUACGGGAGGCAGCAGUGGGGAAUAUUGCACAAUGGGCGGAAGCCUGAUGCAGCGACGCCGCGUGGGGGAUGACGGCCUUCGGGUUGUAAACUCCUUUCGACCGCGAGGAAGCCGCCUGGUUGGAAGGGUGGUGACGGUAGUGGUAGAAGAAGCACCGGCUAACUACGUG
rnacentral:rRNA from 1 species